rnacentral:rRNA from 1 species
UAAGCAUAUCAAUAAGCGGAGGAAAAGAAACCACCGGGAUUGCCCUAGUAACGGCGAGUGAAGCGGCAAGAGCUCAAAUUUGAAAGCUGGCCCCUGCGGGGUCCGCAUUGUAAUUUGCAGAGGAUGCUUCGGGAGCGGUCCCCAUCUAAGUGCCCUGGAACGGGCCGUCAUAGAGGGUGAGAAUCCCGUAUGGGAUGGGGUGCCCGCGCCCGUGUGAAGCUCCUUCGACGAGUCGAGUUGUUUGGGAAUGCAGCUCUAAUUGGGUGGUAAAUUUCAUCUAAAGCUAAAUAUUGGCCGGAGACCGAUAGCGCACAAGUAGAGUGAUCGAAAGAUGAAAAGCACUUUGAAAAGAGAGUUAAACAGCACGUGAAAUUGUUGAAAGGGAAGCGCUUGCGAUCAGACUCGCUCCCGGGGUUCAGCCGGCAUUCGUGCCGGUGUACUUCCCCGGGGGCGGGCCAGCGUCGGUUUGGGCGGCCGGUCAAAGGCCCCUGGAAUGUAACGCCUCUCGGGGCGUCUUAUAGCCAGGGGUGCCAUGCGGCCUGCCCGGACCGAGGAACGCGCUUCGGCUCGGACGCUGGCAUAAUGGUCGUAAGCGACCCGUCUUGAAACACGGACCAAGGAGUCUAACAUCUACGCGAGUGUUCGGGUGUCAAACCCGUGCGCGCAGUGAAAGCGAACGGAGGUGGGAACCCCCCGGGGUGCACCAUCGACCGAUCCUGAAGUCUUCGGAUGGAUUUGAGUAAGAGCGUAGCUGUUGGGACCCGAAAGAUGGUGAACUAUGCCUGAAUAGGGCGAAGCCAGAGGAAACUCUGGUGGAGGCUCGCAGCGGUUCUGACGUGCAAAUCGAUCGUCAAAUUUGGGUAUAGGGGCGAAAGACUAAUCGAACCAUCUAGUAGCUGGUUCCUGCCGA